GUGGGGAAUCUUCCGCAAUGGACGAAAGUCUGACGGAGCGACGCCGCGUGAGUGAAGAAGGCCUUCGGGUCGUAAAGCUCUGUCAUCAGGGACGAACGGCCGGUGGAGUGGAAAGCCACCGGAUUGACGGUACCUGAGAAGGAAGCCACGGCUAACUACGUGCCAGCAGCCGCGGUAAUACGUAGGUGGCAAGCGUUGUCCGGAAUUAUUGGGCGUAAAGCGCGCGCAGGUGGGAUCUUAAGUCCAUUUUUAAAGUUCGGAGCUCAACUCCGUGAUGGGAUGGAAACUGGGAUUCUUGAGUACCGGAGAGGAAAGCGGAAUUCCCCGUGUAGCGGUGAAAUGCGUAGAUAUGGGGAGGAACACCAGAGGCGAAGGCGGCUUUCUGGACGGUGUCUGACACUGAGGCGCGAAAGCCAGGGGAGCGAACGGGAUUAGAUACCCUAGUAGUCC
rnacentral:rRNA from 1 species